AGCUUUGCGCAGUGGCAGUAUCGUAGCCAAUGAGGUUUAUCCGAGGCGCGAUUAAUGCUAAUUGAAAACCACGGUGAGAUACCACCUCACACCUGUCAGAGUGGCUAAAAUUAAUAGCACAAGAGACAAUAGGUUUU